GCCGGAGUGGUGGAACUGGUAGACGCGCUGGACUCAAAAUCCAGUGGGGGCAACUCCGUGUCGGUUCGAUUCCGACCUCCGGCA
rnacentral:tRNA from 1 species